rnacentral:rRNA from 1 species
AGAGUUUGAUCAUGGCUCAGAUUGAACGCUGGCGGCGUGCUUAACACAUGCAAGUCGAUCGGUAACAGGCCCUUCGGGGUGCUGACGAGAGGCGGACGGGUGAGUAACGCUUGGGAAUCUGCCCAUCAGCGGGGGACAACCCGGGGAAACCCGGGCUAAUACCGCAUACGCUCCAAGGAGGAAAGCAGGGGACCGCAAGGCCUUGCACUGAUGGAUGAGCCCAAGUCGGAUUAGCUUGUUGGUGAGGUAAAGGCUCACCAAGGCGACGAUCCGUAGCUGGUCUGAGAGGACGAUCAGCCACACUGGGACUGAGACACGGCCCAGACUCCUACGGGAGGCAGCAGUGGGGAAUAUUGGACAAUGGGGGAAACCCUGAUCCAGCGACGCCGCGUGAGUGAAGAAGGCCUGCGGGUUGUAAAGCUCUUUCGGUAGGGACGAAAGCUUCUGACCUAAUACGUCAGAAGGUUGACUUAACCUACAAAAGAAGCACCGGCUAACUCUGUGCCAGCAGCCGCGGUAAUACAGAGGGUGCGAGCGUUAAUCGGAAUUACUGGGCGUAAAGGGCACGCAGGCGGCUUUGCAAGUCGGAUGUGAAAUCCCCGGGCUCAACCUGGGAACUGCAUUCGAAACUGCUCGGCUAGAGUAUGGGAGAGGGAAGUGGAAUUUCCGGUGUAGCGGUGAAAUGCGUAGAUAUCGGAAGGAACAUCAGUGGCGAAGGC